GAUGAACGCUGGCGGCGUGCUUAACACAUGCAAGUCGAACGGUGAAGCAGGAGCUUGCUCUUGUGGAUCAGUGGCGAACGGGUGAGUAACACGUGAGCAACCUGCCCCUGACUCUGGGAUAAGCGCUGGAAACGGCGUCUAAUACUGGAUAUGUGAUGUGACCGCAUGGUCUGCAUCUGGAAAGAAUUUCGGUUGGGGAUGGGCUCGCGGCCUAUCAGCUUGUUGGUGAGGUAAUGGCUCACCAAGGCGUCGACGGGUAGCCGGCCUGGGAGGGGGGACGACCACACUGGGACUGAGACACGACCCAGACUACUACGGGAGGCAGCAGUGGGGAAUAUUGCACAAUGGGCGGAAGACUGAUGCAGCAACGCCGCGUGAGGGAUGACGGCCUUCGGGUUGUAAACCUCUUUUAGCAGGGAAGAAGCGAAAGUGACGGUACCUGCAGAAAAAGCACCGGCUAACUACGUGCCAGCCGCCGCAGUAA
rnacentral:rRNA from 1 species